rnacentral:rRNA from 1 species
GAUGAACGCUAGCUACAGGCUUAACACAUGCAAGUCGAGGGGUCUCGCGGGAGCUUGCUUCCAAGAGACGACCGGCGCACGGGUGAGUAACGCGUAUCCAACCUGCCCUUCAUAUUGGGAUAGCCUUCCGAAAGGAAGAUUAAUACCGAAUAACAUGAGAAAGUUGCCUGAUUCUCUCAUGAAAGCUCCGGCGAUGAAGGAUGGGGAUGCGUUCCAUUAGGUAGUAGGCGGGGUAACGGCCCACCUAGCCCACGAUGGAUAGGGGUUCUGAGAGGAAGGUCCCCCACACUGGAACUGAGACACGGUCCAGACUCCUACGGGAGGCAGCAGUGAGGAAUAUUGGUCAAUGGGCGCAAGCCUGAACCAGCCAAGUAGCGUGAAGGAUGACUGCCCUAUGGUUGUAAACUUCUUUUAUACGGGAACAAACCUUGGUACGCGUACCAAAUUGCGUGUACCGUAUGAAUAAGCAUCGGCUAACUCCGUGCCAGCCGCCGCAGUAAAAC